AUUGAACGCUGGCGGCAGGCCUAACACAUGCAAGUCGAGCGGAUGAAGGGAGCUUGCUCCUGGAUUCAGCGGCGGACGGGUGAGUAAUGCCUAGGAAUCUGCCUGGUAGUGGGGGAUAACGUCCGGAAACGGGCGCUAAUACCGCAUACGUCCUGAGGGAGAAAGUGGGGGAUCUUCGGACCUCACGCUAUCAGAUGAGCCUAGGUCGGAUUAGCUAGUUGGUGGGGUAAAGGCCUACCAAGGCGACGAUCCGUAACUGGUCUGAGAGGAUGAUCAGUCAAACUGGGACUGGGACACGGUCCAGGCUCCUACGGGAGGCAGCAGUGGGGAAUAUUGGACAAUGGGCGGAAGGCUGAUCCAGGCAUGCCGCGUGUGUGAAGAAGGGCUUCGGGUUGGAAAGCACUUUAAGUUGGGAGGAAGGGCAGGAGGUUAAUACCUUGCUGGUUUGGAGGUACCAUCAGAAGAAGCACCGGCUAACUUCGUG
rnacentral:rRNA from 1 species